AUAAACAGAGGGAAUGUAGGAAAAUACAGGCAAGCUCUUACCACCACAACCAAAGACUGAAGUUCUCAACAGGAUACCAUAGUCACUCAGUAGUGCUGUGAUUUCCUCAGGAGAUACAAAA
rnacentral:snoRNA from 1 species